CGACCUUGAAAUACCACCCUUUAAUGUUUGAUGUUCUAACGUGGACCCGUGAUCCGGGUUGCGGACAGUGUCUGGUGGGUAGUUUGACUGGGGCGGUCUCCUCCUAAAGAGUAACGGAGGAGCACGAAGGUUGGCUAAUCCUGGUCGGACAUCAGGAGGUUAGUGCAAUGGCAUAAGCCAGCUUGACUGCGAGCGUGACGGCGCGAGCAGGUGCGAAAGCAGGUCAUAGUGAUCCGGUGGUUCUGAAUGGAAGGGCCAUCGCUCAACGGAUAAAAGGUACUCCGGGGAUAACAGGCUGAUACCGCCCAAGAGUUCAUAUCGACGGCGGUGUUUGGCACCUCGAUGUCGGCUCAUCACAUCCUGGGGCUGAAGUAGGUCCCAAGGGUAUGGCUGUUCGCCAUUUAAAGUGGUACGCGAGCUGGGUUUAGAACGUCGUGAGACAGUUCGGUCCCUAUCUGCCGUGGGCGCUGGAGAACUGAGGGGGGCUGCUCCUAGUACGAGAGGACCGGAGUGGACGCAUCACUGGUGUUCGGGUUGUCAUGCCAAUGGCACUGCCCGGUAGCUAAAUGCGGAAGAGAUAAGUGCUGAAAGCAUCUAAGCACGAAACUUGCCCCGAGAUGAGUUCUCCCUGACCCUUUAAGGGUCCUGAAGGAACGUUGAAGACGACGACGUUGAUAGGCCGGGUGUGUAAGCGCAGCGAUGCGUUGAGCUAACCGGUACUAAUGAACCGUGAGGCUUAACCUUACAACGCCGAA
rnacentral:rRNA from 1 species